rnacentral:rRNA from 1 species
GACGAACGCUGGCGGUGUGCCUAACACAUGCAAGUCGAACGGUAAGGCCCUUUCGGGGGUACACGAGUGGCGAACGGGUGAGUAACACGUGAGUAACCUGCCCUCAUCUCUGGGAUAACAGUCGGAAACGGUUGCUAAUACUGGAUAUGAGCUUGCAAGGCAUCUUGUGGGUUGGAAAGAUUUUUUUGGUUGGGGAUGGACUCGCGGCCUAUCAGCUUGUUGGUGAGGUAGUGGCUCACCAAGGCUUCGACGGGUAGCCGGCCUGAGAGGGCGACCGGCCACAUUGGGACUGAGAUACGGCCCAAACUCCUACGGGAGGCAGCAGUGGGGAAUAUUGCACAAUGGACGGAAGUCUGAUGCAGCAACGCCGCGUGCGGGAUGACGGCCUUCGGGUUGUAAACCGCUUUCAAUUGUGACGAGGCUUUUUGUGACGGUAGCAGUAGAAGAAGCACCGGCUAACUACGUG